UACAGAGGGGGCCAGCGUUAAUCGGAAUUACUGGGCGUAAAGCGUGCGCAGGCGGCUUUGCAAGACAGAUGUGAAAUCCCCGGGCUUAACCUGGGAACUGCAUUUGUGACUGCAUGGCUAGAGUGCGGCAGAGGGGGAUGGAAUUCCGCGUGUAGCAGUGAAAUGCGUAGAUAUGCGGAGGAACACCGAUGGCGAAGGCAAUCCCCUGGGCCUGCACUGACGCUCAUGCACGAAAGCGUGGGGAGCAAACAGG
rnacentral:rRNA from 1 species